rnacentral:rRNA from 1 species
UACGGAGGGUGCAAGCGUUAUCCGGAUUCACUGGGUUUAAAGGGUGCGUAGGCGGACAGGUAAGUCAGUGGUGAAAUCUCUGGGCUUAACUCAGAAACUGCCGUUGAUACUAUUUGUCUUGAAUAUCCUGGAGGUAAGCGGAAUAUGUCAUGUAGCGGUGAAAUGCUUAGAUAUGACAUAGAACACCGAUAGCGAAGGCAGCUUACUACAGGUUCAUUGACGCUGAGGCACGAAAGCGUGGGGAGCAAAC